UACGGGAGGCAGCAGUGGGGAAUAUUGCACAAUGGGCGCAAGCCUGAUGCAGCCAUGCCGCGUGUAUGAAGAAGGCCUUCGGGUUGUAAAGUACUUUCAGUCGUGAGGAAGGUGUUAAGGUUAAUAACCUUAGCAAUUGACGUUAGCGACAGAAGAAGCACCGGCUAACUCCGUGCCAGCAGCCGCGGUAAUACGGAGGUGCGAGCGUUAAUCGGAAUUACUGGGCGUAAAGGGCACGCAGGCGGUUAAUUAAGUUGGAUGUGAAAUCCCCGGGCUUAACCUGGGAAUGGCAUUCAAGACUGGUUAGCUAGAGUCUUGUAGAGGGGGUAGAAUUCCAUGUGUAGCGGUGAAAUGCGUAGAGAUGUGGAGGAUACCGGUGCGAAGCGGCCCCUGGACAAGACUGACGCUCAUGUGCGAAAGCGUGGGGAGCAAACAGGGAUUAGAUACC
rnacentral:rRNA from 1 species